AGCCAUGAGUCCCUUAGAAGGGCAUGGAAGUAAGUCUUCUAUUUCUCUAUUGCACUAUCAGUGUCCAUUAUUUCCUGUAACAAUGAUAGCUGCCACCAUAAAAGCUUUUCAGAUUUUGUUAGUCCAGGAAGGAAUAGUGACAGUUAUUCCAUUAUAACAAUAAUAUUCGGGGUCCAUCAUUGGGGUUAUUGGCAUUACCAAAACCUUGAUUGAAAUGUAUUGAGCAGAUUUUGGCAUCUGAAAGUAAUUUUCUUAUUAGACCUGAACUGUUCACUCUUGAGUUUUUUGGGUUCUGCAAUAUUUCUCGAUGUCAUGAGAGUGAAAUUUCUGUUAGUGGUGAUUCAAACGAAUACUUUCACCUCCUGGUGCUGAGAGACAGCACCAGCAACCCAUGUAGAUAUGACACCAUGCCACUGCAAAUGGAUUAUUUGUUCACAAAGCAUUUAAGCAUGGAUUAGGUGUGAUGGUUACAUCUUGCUUGCAGGUAGAAUCGUUAUAGAUUAUUUAUGCAUUGCAUUUGCUUUUAAAUUCGAUCUAAUCUGCUUCGUGAUUGCAAUGCAGUCCAUGUGCUAAUAAUUCCAAGCCAUACCUGACAAUAUGCUCCCAUGCUUGCCUUCUUCUUUUCUUUUCUUUUUCUUUUUUUUUUUGAAUUCUAUUAUUUGUUUUCUUUGGAGAAUAGUAGUUGGAAGAUUCUUUCCAAUUUCAUGCGGCUGUGACUGCAAGAUUUUGUGUAGCAAUUCAAAGUGCCAAAAUUAGUGAAGUCAUCUGUAGGAUUUGCCAAGAAAAGCGACUUCUCUGCAGAAAUCCAUCCAACAGAUGGCCUCACCAGCUGAGAAUGGAAUGGGGAAAUUCAUCUGUGGGCCUGCUGUGUUGGCCUAUUCCCUUCCUCAGAAAAUGGUGGGUUUGGUAUGUGCCAUGUCUGAAGCUUUAAAAAGUUUCCUUGUGAUGUGGUGGUUGGUCCUCAAAGACAUCAUGGUUGAACUCCUGCGGGAUAAGGAUAUUGGCUUUCGGAGUAGCAGUGUAGCAUUUUAGUAUUGGGUACCGCCUAUAAGUCUUUCUACUAUACUAUUCUAGUUGAGUCUGACUCUGGUGCCAAUUGCCAUCAUCUUGAAUGCCGAUCUUCUUCUUUUCACAUGAAGUAGUUAUCUUAGUGUAUACAA
rnacentral:lncRNA from 1 species